rnacentral:lncRNA from 1 species
AAAAAAAAAGUAUGAAACAAUCCAGCCACAAAGAAAAAAGAAAUUCUUUCACCUUUCUAGCAGCGUCAAGAACAACGUCUUCACUGAGGAGCUUUUGUCCCUUCACACCAGUGCUAUACCUGGAAGACUGUGGACAAUAGGCGCAAUCCUCAGAGCAUCCACCAGUCUUGAUCGAUAGCAGCGUACACUGCUGGACUUCGCGAAAAUUGUGAGCAUGGCGAUGGACUUGAGCCUACAUUGUCGCGAAGAAGAAGAAAAAAAGAAGAAAACUAGCGAUGAGAACCUUUUGCCAUGCAUGUCUAGAAAGCUUUACCCCAUGGAAGAGAAGAUCGAGCAGCGGCGAGUCGUAAAUCUCCUGGAUCUCCUGCCGCCUCCAAUCCGUCCGCGAGCCCUCCCGGAUCGCUCUCUCCGCGGCCAGGGACGCGGCCACAGGCCCCGAUCUGAGCUGCUCGGCGCUGGAUUGCGCGGGCGAUGGAGGCGGAGGCACAGGAGAGGAUGGAGCUGGCGCGCUAGAGGAGAAUCGCAAGCCCGCUGCUAGGAGGAAUCGGUGGUGCGAGGCCUUGGCCAGUGCCAACGCCAUUGCCGGCUAGAAAGAACACGAACAGCCAAAUGGUGUGAGCAAAAUAUUAUAUGCUAGGCUAGGGUUUUAGGGUUUUUGUCCAGGUGGAGUGGCUAUGGCGCCAGCGACUCCUCGAUUUCCCGUGAGGUAGAUCUCUCAUUUUCCAUAGCAAACCUAUGGCAGACUCGCAUUUCUCGAUUCCAGGAUUUCUUGCGCUCCUGGUUUGGGAUCGAUCAAGAAAUUUGUGGCUCCGGUACAAAGAUCUCACCUUCUUUCCGGGUAAGCAAGAAAUUCCAUAGCAUUAAGCAAGGAAUUCUAUGGCAUUCCUUCCUGACAAUCUCUCCAGGACCGAACAAGCAAGAAAUUCCUUUCUGACGAUCUCCAGGACCUUCGAUCGGGAGCCUUCUAGCAAGAAAUUCCAUAGCAGUCCUUCCUUGCGAGGUAAAAUUUCUCUCCAGGGCCUUCGAUCGAGAGCCUUCUUUCCGGGCAAGCAAGAAAUUCCAUAGCAUUCCUUCCGGACGAUCUCUACCGAGAGCCUUCUUUCCGGGUAAGCAAGAAAUUCCAUAGCAUUCCUUCCUGACGAGGAAAAUUUUCUCUCCAGGACUUUCGAUCGAUGCUAUCCGGGCCUGGAUGAUCUUCGGUGGCCCGGAUGAGUGCUCUCGUUCCCUCGCAAGAGCUGGAGCUGCUGCUCCAGCCUCUUCACUCGCUCCAGCACCGAGAGACGCUCUUCCUCCACGGCCUUGAUGGUGGCGGACGUCUCCUCCUCGCUCGAGCUCUUCCUCUUCUCGCCGCCACUUCCACCACCACCCGGGGCCUCCUCCUCCCUGUGCUCUUGCCCAUUGCCACUCCUGCUCGAUCGCCUGUAGAUCUCAAUCUCCUCCUCCAGCACCGUCUUCUCGGCCUCCCUCUUGAGCAGCAUCUCCUUGAGUAUAGUGAUCGCCUUGUGGUCGUGGAAAGCCUUCUCCUCCACCAUCCUUUGGUACUGCCGCGCCUCCAUGAGCAAGCAAGCCUUUUCUUCCUGGAGUCUCGUGAUCAUGGCCAUGCUCUCAUUGGCAGCCACCGCCGCCGCGUUCCUCUCUUGCUCCAGCUCGUAGUAGAGGCUCUCGAUCUCCUCCCUCUCGCCUUUCAAUGCCUCCUUUCCGUCAACUUCCUGUUCCUGGUGGAUUUCCGCAUUGGCGGGACGAUCACCAGUCGAUGAAAAGCUCUCAUCUUGGUGUGGAUCCAAGCUCUCGCCAUGGUCUUCCCGCCCCAGCGUCCUCCAGCACUCGCAAGCUCCCCUGCAAACUGGGCCUUUUGAGCAGUCACACCUCUCCUUGCCAUGUCCCUCCCGCCUCAAGCACUCGCAACGAGAAGGAGAAGACCGAGAAGGAGAAGCUCGAGAAGAAGUCCGAGAAGGAGCCUUUUGGUGCUGCUCUCGAUCCGGCGGACACGACGUGAUCCUCAGCUGGAGCUUGUCCACCAGCAGUUCUACGUGCCGCCUUAAGCCAUCGCUCGACGAACAAGCCGGAGGAGAUGAAACAGUGACCAGGUUCCUACCAUCUGCCGCUGCCGCCGCGUCCAUCAUGAUCUCCUGCAAGAACAACCCACUACUCCCGCCGCUGGAUUCCUGCGCUCGAGGUCCCAGCACCCGCAUGAUGCAGCUGAUACAAAUCCCCUCCAGCCUUCCGCUUCGAUCACAGGUGAGACAACUUCGCGUGCUCUCCUGCGAUUCGUAGCGAGUAACUUGUUGCUGCAGGUGAUCAUUGUCCUGGGACAACGAGUGGUGCUCUUGGCAGCGAUCGUGUUCUUCCGCGGCUGUUGUUCCCGACCAGCACGAGGCCAGGCUGCUGCAAAGCUGCGUCAUCCUCGAGACGAGGAACAGCGUCGCCAUCGCCAGGACGAGGCAGGCCAAUGCGAAGUCGACGAAGGGGCAGAUCACGAGCGACGAUGUCCAGUAACGAUCCACCAUGCUGCUGCUGUGAUUGGCAUUCUUCUCGUGGCAUGCCAAUGCUAUCAUCUUCAUCGCAUCGCUCUUCUCUUUCUUUUCUCUUCCAUUUUGUUUGCGCGUCUCUUCCCGGAGCGAAAUCGCAACCGUCUGAUACCAACUGUCACUAUCCGCGGUUCACGGGCGCCGACGGCCAAGAUUGAAAGCAUCUCAGAUUUUUAUUUUCUAAUGGUUGAAAGGUCAAACUUUGGUUCUCUGGCCGAGAUUUUGGUCAAAGUCUUUGCUUUCGCAAUCCCCACCGAUCGAUCGAAGAGGCCUGCGGUAACAUCAAACGCAUUUGAGAAACUCAUUCAAAGAAAGCUCCAAUUUCUUUUGCUCUUGAGAAAACAAUUCCAAAGAAAUAGUUUUUACCAGUGGAUCUAACGCUCCCCUUCUCCAUUCCACGCGGAAGAUGUCCUCGCUGCUUCAAAACGAUUCUAGAUCCACUCUAGAACUCGCCCAAGUUCGUUAGAUCAAUUCUAGAACUCGCCCAAGUUCCAGAUCGCCCAACUCCUUGCUUGAUCCGGCCAGAGCCAUGGAACCACUGGGGAAAAGAGAGAGUGGGCGACACACGAGACCAAGGGGGAGGGCCGCCAAGCACCAAUUCUCACUCUGGCGGCCCUCCCACGACACAAAGAGCCGAUUUUAUUCCACUCGAUUUGGAGGCCCGCCCCGUGAGCGCACCCGUAAGGGCAGGGCCUCCCCUAUCCUCGUACAGCCAUAGCCAUACAUCCUUUCUCAGAUCAAAAGCGGGGAAGAAAAUUUCCACCGCGAGAAAGGAAUUCAAGGAGGAAGAUGCGAGAAGGGGGAAUUUGAGAAGCAAUUGCGAUGAGAUGUGGUAGAUUCCAAGGGAACCAGGCGAGAUCCCGACAUACCUUAGCUAUGCCAAGUCAAUUCCACAUCAAUAUCCUCCACAUUACCUCGCGCGCGCGCCAUAGCUGUGGCGCCAUAGCCACGAUUUAU